rnacentral:rRNA from 1 species
UACAGAGGUCUCAAGCGUUGUUCGGAUUCAUUGGGCGUAAAGGGUGCGUAGGCGGCGCGGUAAGUCGGGUGUGAAAUCUCGGGGCUUAACUCCGAAACUGCAUUCGAUACUGCCGUGCUUGAGGACUGGAGAGGAGACUGGAAUUUACGGUGUAGCGGUGAAAUGCGUAGAGAUCGUAAGGAAGGCCAGUGGCGAAGGCGAGUUCCUGGACAGUUACUGACGCUGAGGCACGAAGGCCAGGGGAGCAAACGGG